UCACGGCGGCGACUUCGCAAUUUCUGUUGCUCAAGACUGUCCCUGAUGUGUUUUAUAUUCUUCGGCAGUUCGGGAAUAUACAUAUAUUAGAGUGCAGCCAAGAAGGGCACGUGCUGAGGCACGAGAGGCUGAAAUGUAGAGGACAGAAGGGCCACCAUCUGCAGCAGGCCCCAGCCACCACUGCCCUGGCUGCCUUGCAUCCACACACCCCACUGCCAGGGACGUGACCACCACCACCUGUGUACAUACAAAAUACAGCUAUCCACGCUCCUGGAGAAGUGGUACAAGUUGGCGUCCACACACCUGUGAGGCAUGAGGACAGGUUUGAAAUGGACUCUGAAGAGGAACAGAAGAACUUGUCCCUUGUUGAGUGGGGGAGGCUGCGGCAUGGUAAUGGCAAAUGGCGAAGGCCAAAUGGUUGUGAGAUGUUCCGUGGACAGACUCGGCCACGAAGUGACCCAAAAACCUUUGUUUAUUGGUCUCUUAUCUGCCAGCGCUGCCUUCAGUCCCUCCGUGGACCGGGAUUUCCGUGCCCUUGCCUCUCAUGGCUCAACUUUCAUCCUGCCUUCAGAUUCUGAAUUUCCCAGCGUCUCCGGUCUCAUUCAUUCUCCAUCCCACUUGGUCCCCCAAGUGAGGUCCUUUCGCUAUCCAUUGAGUGGUGCAGCCGUGCUGCAUUCCUUUAUUAUUGUAGAACCGUCAUUUAGGAUCAUACCUUUAUGUAGGUGGCUACACAGAGGUCCUUAACUGUCACGGAAGGACGGACCUACACCUUUCUAAUGAUGUCACAGGAGGAGGACCACAAUAUUGAUGUACGUAGGUAGUUUGUUGUAGGGUAUGACCUACGGACGGACCUACCUUCAUGCAAAACUUUGCGUGAAACCACAGGGGUGGUGUGUGCAGUGUUUUGUAACAACGCAAGCGAAACCACAGGGGUAGUGUGUGUGUAUAUACGAGGGUAUUGUGUAUCGUAUAUAUAUACAGGGUAUUGUGGAACUGUGGGCAUGGUCCACACUAGCAGUUCGGAACAUUUUUUUUAAGGGGGGAAGCGGAGUUGGAGGGGAGCGAACGCUGUAUGUGAAUAAUCGGUUAUGGGGUGAGUGGUGGGAAGGCGGACGUUUUUAAUUACGGUGGAGAGGAAAGGAGGCGUGGAAGGGGCGUUGUAGUGUGGGGAAGGGGUUAAGUUUUGGAUACUUUAAAAUUAAUCCCCGCCCUCCUACAAAUUCUACCAACCAAUCCUCCUCCCUCCUACCGAAAUGACUUCUGCUAGCUGUAGAAACGCCGUUGCAGGUCUGCAGUUUUAAUUAAUGGUCUGCUCUACAAAGUUUAAUAUGGUAGCUUGUGAGGUUAACUGGAAACCUGUGACCAUUCUCGCAUGUCAGCUAGAUGACAUUUCCCACAAAACAUCAUACAGGAUAGAAAUAUAAAAAUUCAUAAUUGCAGGAAAAGUCCAUAAUUACAGGAUUUUGAUUAACAAAUCACAGUUCACGGUACUUCGAAGAGGUUCCAGAGAAAGCCCUUCCCUUUCCUGGUAGAAAAAUGUUUUUAUUUAAA